rnacentral:rRNA from 1 species
GGUUAACGCUGGCGGCGUGCCUAACACAUGCAAGUCGAACGGUUCUAAGCGCGAGCUUAGGAUAGUGGCGAACGGGUGAGUAAAAGGUAGGAAUCUACCCCUUGGACGGAGAUAGCUACUGGAAACGGUAGGUAAACUUCGAUAAGCCCGAGAGGGGAAAGUGGUGAGACAGCCGAGGGAUGAGCCUACUCUCCAUCAGGUAGUUGGUGAGAUAAAAGCUUACCAAGCCGAUGACGGAUAACCGGUGUGAGAGCAUGAACGGUCACAAGGGCACUGAGAGACGGGCCCUACUCCUACGGGAGGCAGCAGUGGGGAAUAUUGCACAAUGGGCGAAAGCCUGAUGCAGCGACGCCGCGUGAGGGAUGAAGGCCUUCGGGUUGUAAACCUCUUUCAGCAGGGAAGAAGCGAAAGUGACGGUACCUGCAGAAGAAGCACCGGCUAACUACGUGCCAGCAGCCGCGGUAAGGCUACGUAGA